rnacentral:misc_RNA from 1 species
CAGGCUCGAAUGCUACCUGACAGCCCCUGAAAGGGGGUUUCCUUCGGGCAGGUAGCAAGGUGCUGCAUGGCUGUCGUCAGCUCGUGUCGUGAGAUGUUGGGUUAAGUCCCGCAACGAGCGCAACCCUUGUCCUUAGUUGCCAGCACGUAAUGGCGGGGACUCGCAGGAGACUGCCGGGGUCAACUCGGAGGAAGGUGGGAUGACGUGUAACCGAAUCU